rnacentral:rRNA from 1 species
CAGUCGCCGCGGUAAUACGAAGGGGGCUAGCGUUGUUCGGAUUUACUGGGCGUAAAGCGCACGUAGGCGGAUCGAUCAGUCAGGGGUGAAAUCCUGGAGCUCAACUCCAGAACUGCCUUUGAUACUGUCGAUCUCGAGUCCGGAAGAGGUGAGUGGAACUCCUAGUGUGGAGGUGGAAUUCGUAGAUAUUAGGAAGAACACCAGUGGCGAAGGCGGCUCACUGGUCCGGUACUGACGCUGAGGUGCGAAAGCGUGGGGAGCAAACAGGAUUAGAUACCCCUGUAGUCCCUGUCUCUUAUAC